GUUAAUACAGCAUAAUUGCUUAAAGGUAGAUUUGCAAAAGGAAGACUGAUUUGGGCUCUGACACUAACUGUAUGAUCUUGGUCAACUCACUUAACCUCUUUAAGCUUCAGUCUCCUUUCUUGUAAAAAGUGAUAAUAGUGCUAGCCUCAUGGGAUUGCUGUGAAGAUCAAAUGAGAUCAAACACACAAACACACACGUGGAAUUCUG
rnacentral:lncRNA from 1 species